UACGGAGGGUGCGAGCGUUGUCCGGAAUCACUGGGCGUAAAAGGGCGCGUAGGCGGCCUGAUAAGUAGGGGGGUGAAAUCCUGCGGCUUAACCGCAGGGCUGCCUUCUAAACUGUCGGGCUCGAGCACAGUAGAGGCAGGUGGAAUUCCCGGUGUAGCGGUGGAAUGCGUAGAGAUCGGGAAGAACAUCAGUGGCGAAGGCGGCCUGCUGGGCUGUUGCUGACGCUGAGGCGCGACAGCGUGGGGGAGCAAACAGG
rnacentral:rRNA from 1 species